CCUCCGUCGCGUCCCCCAAGUUAAAUCCCGUUUCUUUUAUCAUAUUACCUUCUAUCUCCCGUGACCGUACAGCUCUGUUCUCUCUUUUCGGUCUCUCUAUCCCACUUUCUCUCUCUAAAAUAUCUAAUUCUGCUUCUGCAAUCUAGGGUUUAUGCCCUCACCAAUGUCUCUCCUUACAAAACCCUAAUUUUUUUGUAUCCAUAAAUAAUUAUUUUACUGAUAAUUGUAGUAUAUAUAGAAUCACAAGAUGGAUGGAACAAUCAGCAACGGAGGAGGAGGUGGUGGUGGAGGUAGUGGGGAUGCUUCAACUAGCGGCUCUGGCAGUGGUGGUCCACGAGCUCCUUCUGCGCCGGUGCCAAUUUCGACGCAGGCAAAUGCACCACCACCUUUUCUAAGCAAGACUUACGACAUGGUGAACGACCCCGCGACGGACGCGAUCGUUUCCUGGAGUCCGACGAACAAUAGCUUCGUAGUUUGGAACCCGCCAGAAUUCGCGCGCGACCUCCUACCCAAGUACUUCAAGCACAACAAUUUCUCCAGUUUCGUUAGGCAGCUCAACACCUAUGGUUUCCGGAAAGUUGAUCCAGACCGCUGGGAAUUUGCUAAUGAGGGAUUCUUGAGGGGUCAAAAGCACCUACUUAAGAGUAUUAGUCGACGAAAACCUGCCCAUGGGCAUUCUCAUCAGCAGGCUCAACAACCUCAGGGACAAAGCUCAUCUGUUGGUGCCUGUGUUGAGGUUGGGAAAUUUGGGCUGGAGGAAGAGGUUGAGAGGCUUAAGAGGGAUAAGAAUGUCCUUAUGCAAGAACUUGUUAGGCUGAGGCAGCAGCAACAGGCUACUGAUGGCCAAUUGCAAACCAUGGUACAGCGACUUCAAGGGAUGGAACAACGGCAGCAACAGAUGAUGUCUUUCCUGGCAAAGGCUAUGCAGAGCCCUGGCUUCUUGGCUCAGUUUGUACAGCAGCAAAAUGAAAGCAAUAGGCGCAUAACAGAAGCAAACAAAAAACGAAGGCUCAAACAAGAUGGUAUUUCUGAGAAUGAGAAUUCUGGUGCUCCUGAUGGCCAGAUUGUGAAGUACAAGCCUCUGAUGAAUGAGGCAGCAAAAGCCAUGCUGAGGCAAAUCAUGAAAAUGGAUGCUUCUUCCAGGAUGGAAUCUUAUAACAAUGGUCUUGAAGAUUUCCUAGCUGGCGGUGGCUCACCAUCAUCCAGCGGAAUGGAGAGUGGGAGCCCUUCAAGCCGUAUAUCAGGAGUGACUCUUCAAGAGGUCCCACCAACUACAGGGCAUUCAACCUAUGUACCACCAGUCUCAGGGUUAUCAGGGCAUGACCCUGCAGAUUCUGUAUCAGAAAUAAAAUCCACUCCAUGCAUUCCUAGUUCUGAAAAGAUAACAGCACAGUUUCCAGAUAUAAGUGUUCUGGUUGGAUCACAAGAGGCACCCACUAUUUCUAUUCCUCAGUCAGAUGUAGUUAUGCCUACACUUUCUCAGAUACCAGAAAUGGUGCCAGAAGGUAUUGUUGAUAUUCCUGGCGAAGUUUAUAUGGAGCCUGAGGCUGUCAAUGAUGGAUUUAUGGAUCUCACUCCAAUAGGAAUUGGAAAUGUUUCCCCAGAUCCUGAUAUUGAUAUAUUGCUUGAAAAUUCUAGCUUCUGGGAUGAACUUGUGCAAAGCCCAGUACCUGAGGAUAUUGAAUCAAGCUCCAUGGAUGGUCAAACAAAUGAAAAUGAUGUGCAGUCAAUGGACAAUGGGUGGGACAAAACUCAGCACGUGGAUCAGCUUACGGAGCAGAUGGGACUUCUCACGUCAGAUGCUAAAAUGCUUUGAUCUUGUUUACAGAAUGUACACUUCUUGCACUCUGCCCUAGGUAAAACACCUUGUUAAUAAACAACUAAACGAUAGAAGGCGAGUGGCUGCAGCCUAGAAGAACCCUAACCUAUUGGAUGUGGUUGACGAAUGCAUUGGUCCAUCGUAUGCUUGAACGUGUUUCUGCAGAAUGCUGUUGCAACCACUGUAUGUUUGUGCAGUCAAUUCUGGUUUUCCUGACCACAAAAUUUUCAAUUCUGCUUUUAUUUGUUUGUAAAAGUUGUUCUAUAUAGGAUUAUAAGGUUUAAGUGCACAAAAUGCAGUUAUCUCUUAUUUUAUUCAUCGUAUUAAUUUAAUACUUUUGUUGAUAGGCA